rnacentral:rRNA from 1 species
GGCGAGUGAAGCGGCAAGAGCUCAAAUUUGAAAUCUGGCGCCGCGAGGCGUCCGAGUUGUAAUUUGGAGAGGCAUCUUCCGGUGGGGCCCCAGCCUAUGUUCCUUGGGACAGGACGUCAUAGAGGGUGAGAAUCCCGUUCAUGGUCGGGUGCCCCCACCUGCAUGUAGUGUCUUCUACGAGUCGAGUUGUUUGGGAAUGCAGCUCAAAAUGGGUGGUAAAUUUCAUCUAAAGCUAAAUAUUGGCGAGAGACCGAUAGCGCACAAGUAGAGUGAUCGAAAGAUGAAAAGCACUUUGAAAAUAGAGUCAAACAGUACGUGAAAUUGUUGAAAGGGAAGCGCUUGAGACCAGACUCAGCCUAGGGCAAACAUCCUUCCUUCUGGUUGGUGCACUUGCCCAUGGCUGGGCCAGCAUCAGUUGGGACGACGGGAUAAAUGUCUGGGGAAUGUGGCUCCCCUCGGGGAGUGUUAUAGCCCCGGACACCAUGCCGUCCGUCCCGACUGAGGACCGCGCUCCGGCUAGGAUGCUGGCGUAAUGGUCUUCAGCGACCCGUCUUGAAACACGGACCAAGGAGUCUAACAUCCAUGCGAGUGUUUGGGCUUCAAACCCUUACGCGUAAUGAAAGUGAACGGAGGUGGGAACCCCGCGAGG